AACGAACGCUGGCGGCAGGCUUAACACAUGCAAGUCGAACGAGAUCUUCGGAUCUAGUGGCAGACGGGUGAGGAACACGUGGGAACAUCCCUUUCAGUUCGGAAUAACGUUGGGAAACUAACGCUAAUACCGGAUACGUCCUUCGGGAGAAAGAUUCAUCGCUGAAAGAUUGGCCCGCGUCUGAUUAGCUAGUUGGUGAGGUAAUGGCUCACCAAGGCUACGAUCAGUAGCUGAUCUGAGAGGAUGAUCAGCCACAUUGGGACUGAGACACGGCCCAAACUCCUACGGGAGGCAGCAGUGGGGAAUAUUGGACAAUGGGCGCAAGCCUGAUCCAGCCAUGCCGCGUGAGUGAUGACGGCCUUCGGGUUGUAAAGCUCUUUUGUCCGGGAAGAUAAUGACUGUACCGGAAGAAUAAGCCCCGGCAAACUUCGUGCCAGCCGCUGCAGUAA
rnacentral:rRNA from 1 species